CUCAGCACCUGGCCAGCU
rnacentral:misc_RNA from 1 species